GGGGGCGACACGGUUUCGACGGAAGCUGUCGCGAUCCGAAGGCAUGCCGGGGGCCACCUGCCCGUAAUCUGGUGGAAACUAGAACUGCCAACAACAACUUGGCACUUGCUGCUUAAUUAAUUAAGCGCAACGUUUGCCCAAGCUUCGCCUGCGGGUUUGGGGUCAAACGUCAUUCAGCGGGCUGGCUUGGGCCUUUCGGUCCGUAAGGCUCGGGCGAGAACCAUCGGACUAGCCGGCUGCGUUUCUUGCUCAUUCUGAGCGUGGCGGGCGAAAAAAACUGAACUGAGCUAAGCAUGUAGUCUUCGGCUCGUAGCGCUUUUCGGACGGGGGUUCGACUCCCCCCGCCUCCACCA
rnacentral:tmRNA from 1 species